UUUUAAAGCUUUGGUGGAUACGGAUUGGCUCGCGUGACAUUAGCUAGAUGGUAAGGUAACGGCUUACCAUGGCUACGAUGUCUAGGGGUUCUGAGAGGAAGGUCCCCCACACUGGAACUGAGACACGGUCCAGACUCCUACGGGAGGCAGCAGUGAGGAAUAUUGGACAAUGGAUGGAAAUCUGAUCCAGCCAUGCCGCGUGCAGGAAGACGGCCCUAUGGGUUGUAAACUGCUUUUGUAUGGGAGCAAUAAGGGCUACGUGUAGUCCGAUGAGAGUACCAUACGAAUAAGCACCGGCUAACUCCGUGCCAGCAGCCGCGGUAAUACGGAGGGUGCAAGCGUUAUCCGGAUUUAUUGGGUUUAAAGGGUGCGUAGGCGGUUUGAUAAGUCAGCGGUGAAAUAUUUCAGCUUAACUGGAAGGGUGCCGUUGAUACUGUCGAGCUUGAAUUUAGUUGCUGUGGGUGGAAUGUGUGGUGUAGCGGUGAAAUGCAUAGAUAUCACACAGAAUAUCGAUUGCGAAGGCAGCUCACAAAGCUAAUAUUGACGCUGAUGCACGAAAGUGUGGGGAUCAAACAGGAUUAGAUACCCUGGUAGUCCACACUGUAAACGAUGAUAACUCGCUGUCGGCGAUACAUAGUCGGUGGCCAAGCGAAAGCGAUAAGUUAUCCACCUGGGGAGUACGACCGCAAGGUUGAAACUCAAAGGAAUU
rnacentral:rRNA from 1 species